CCAAUAGCGUAUAUUAAAGUUGUUGCAGUUAAAAAGCUCGUAGUUGAAUUUCGGGAUCAGAUUGUCGGUCGUGCCUCGGUACGUACUGGUAUUAUUGGUUCCUCCCUUCUGACGAACCACGAUGUCAUUAAUUUGGUGUCAUGGGAAAUCAGGACUGUUACUUUGAAAAAAUUAGAGUGUUUAAAGCAGGCUCGCGCUUGAAUACAUUAGCAUGGAAUAAUGAAAUAGGACGUUUGAUUCUAUUUUGUUGGUUUCUAGGAUCGACGUAAUGAUUAAUAGGGAUAGUUGGGGGCAUUAGUAUUCAAUUGUCAGAGGUGAAAUUCUUGGAUUUAUUGAAGACUAACUACUGCGAAAGCAUUUGCCAAGGAUGUUUUCAUUAAUCAAGAACGAAAGUUAGGGGAUCGAAGACGAUCAGAUACCGUCGUAGUCUUAACCAUAAACUAUGCCGACUAGGGAUCGGAUGAUGUUAAUUUUUUAAUGACUCAUUCGGCGCCUUACG
rnacentral:rRNA from 1 species